rnacentral:rRNA from 1 species
UACAGGGGGUGCAAACGUUGCUCGGAAUUAUUGGGCGUAAAGCGCGCGUAGGCGGCCGCUUAAGUCGGAUGUGAAGGCCCCUGGCUCAACUGGGGAAGUGCACCCGAAACUGAGUGGCUUGAGUACUAAAGAGGGUCGCGGAAUUCCCGGUGUAGAGGUGAAAUUCGUAGAUAUCGGGAGGAACACCGGUGGCGAAGGCGGCAUCCUGGACCGGUAUUGACGCUGAGGCGCGAAAGCCAGGGGAGCAAAGCGGG